GUAGUGGUGGUUCAGUGGUAGAACUCUCUCCUUCCAUGUGGGAGACCCAGGUUUGAGUCCAGGCUGACGCA
rnacentral:tRNA from 1 species